UAACCCUCCACCCAAAGCAAGUCCAUCAAUAGCAGCAACGGCAGGUUUUCUAGCAGCUUCAAAAAUAUCAGUGAUUACAUCCACAGAAAUGUAGCCAGGCCGUGGUUCCGCAGCUUUUCCACCUUGCAGUCCACCGAAGGCUGUUAUAUCAAAGCCACCAGAGAACUUUCCCCUGGCACCUGUAACAACAAUUGCCUUCACAUCUUCUCUUCGCAGAGCCUGUUCAUAACUCUCUUUCAAGCUGAAUAAUACAUCAAAAGAAAGUGAGUUGACGGGAGGAUUAAUGAUCGUGAUAAGCGCAACUCCAUCAGCUCCAACCUCCAAAGUUGUUCUUCCCUUCGCUUUGCUGCCCAUUUCUCAGCGUAGGAAAUCAAAA
rnacentral:misc_RNA from 1 species